UACGUAGGUGACAAGCGUUGUCCGGAUUCAUUGGGCGUAAAGCGCUUUAAGGCGGUUCGCUAAGUCGCGUGUGAAACCUCCAGGCUCAACCUGGAGACGCCACGCGAUACUGGCGUGACUAGAGUUCGGUAGGGGAUCACGGAAUUCCUGGUGUAGCGGUGAAAUGCGCAGAUAUCAGGAGGAACACCGAUGGCGAAGGCAGCUCGCUGGGACGGUACUGACGCUGAGGCGCGAAAGCGUGGGGAGCGAACAGG
rnacentral:rRNA from 1 species